GACGAACGCUGGCGGCGUGCUUAACACAUGCAAGUCGAACGGAAAGGCCCUGCUUUUGUGGGGUGCUCGAGUGGCGAACGGGUGAGUAACACGUGAGUAACCUGCCCUUGACUUUGGGAUAACUUCAGGAAACUGUGGCUAAUACCGGAUAGGAGCUCCUGCUGCAUGGUGGGGGUUGGAAAGUUUCGGCGGUUGGGGAUGGACUCGCGGCUUAUCAGCUUGUUGGUGGGGUAGUGGCUUACCAAGGCUUUGACGGGUAGCCGGCCUGAGAGGGUGACCGGCCACAUUGGGACUGAGAUACGGCCCAGACUCCUACGGGAGGCAGCAGUGGGGAAUAUUGCACAAUGGGCGGAAGCCUGAUGCAGCAACGCCGCGUGCGGGAUGACGGCCUUAGGGGUGUAAACCGCUUUCGCCUGUGACGAAGCGUGAGUGACGGUAAUGGGUAAAGAAGCACCGGCUAACUACGUG
rnacentral:rRNA from 1 species